GAUGAACGCUGGCGGCGUGCUUAACACAUGCAAGUCGAACGGUGAACGAGGGAGCUUGCUCCCUCCGGAUCAGUGGCGAACGGGUGAGUAACACGUGAGCAAUCCGCCCCGAACUCUGGGAGAAGCGCUGGAAACGGCGGCUAAUACCGGCUACGACGCGCGCAGGCCUCUUCUGCGCGUGGAAAGAAUUUCGGUCCGGGAUGGGCUCGCGGCCUAUCAGCUAGUUGGUGAGGUAACGGCUCACCAAGGCGACGACGGGUAGCCGGCCUGAGAGGGUGACCGGCCACACUGGGACUGAGACACGGCCCAGACUCCUACGGGAGGCAGCAGUGGGGAAUAUUGCACAAUGGGCGCAAGCCUGAUGCAGCAACGCCGCGUGAGGGACGACGGCCUUCGGGUUGUAAACCUCUUUUAGUAGGGAAGAAGCGAAAGUGACGGUACCUGCAGAAAAAGCACCGGCUAACUACGUGCCAGCCGCCGCAGUAAGAC
rnacentral:rRNA from 1 species